rnacentral:rRNA from 1 species
GUGGGGAAUCUUGCGCACUGGGCGAAAGCCUGACGCAGCCAUGCCGCGUGAAUGAUGAAGGUCUUAGGAUUGUAAAAUUCUUUCACCGGGGACGAUAAUGACGGUACCCGGAGAAGAAGCUCCGGCUAACUUCGUGCCAGCAGCCGCGGUAAUACGAAGGGGGCUAGCGUUGCUCGGAAUUACUGGGCGUAAAGGGCGCGUAGGCGGACAGCUUAGUCAGAGGUGAAAGCCCAGGGCUCAACCUUGGAAUUGCAUUUGAUACUGGCUGUCUUGAGUUUGGGAGAGGGGAGUAGUACUGCGAGUGUAGAGGUGAAAGUCGUAGAUAUUCGGAAGAACACCAGUGGCGAAGGCGACUCACUGGCCCAAUACUGACGCUGAGGCGCGAAAGCGUGGGGAGCAAACAGGAUUAGAUACCCGAGUAGUCC